rnacentral:rRNA from 1 species
GAUGAACGCUAGCGGCAGGCUUAACACAUGCAAGUCGAGGGGUAUAGUUCUUCGGAGCUAGAGACCGGCGCACGGGUGCGUAACGCGUAUGCAAUCUACCUUUUGCAGAGGGAUAGCCCAGAGAAAUUUGGAUUAAUACCUCGUAGUAUGUGAGAAUGGCAUCAUUUUCACAUUAAAGUCACAACGGCAAAAGAUGAGCAUGCGUCCCAUUAGCUUGUUGGUAAGGUAACGGCUUACCAAGGCAACGAUGGGUAGGGGUCCUGAGAGGGAGAUCCCCCACACUGGUACUGAGACACGGACCAGACUCCUACGGGAGGCAGCAGUGAGGAAUAUUGGACAAUGGGCGCAAGCCUGAUCCAGCCAUGCCGCGUGCAGGAUGACGGUCCUAUGGAUUGUAAACUGCUUUUGUACAGGAAGAAACACUGGUUCGUGAACCAGCUUGACGGUACUGUAAGAAUAAGGAUCGGCUAACUCCGUGCCAGCCGCCGCUGUAAAAC